UGGGGAAUUUUGGACAAUGGGCGAAAGCCUGAUCCAGCAAUGCCGCGUGUGUGAAGAAGGCCUUCGGGUUGUAAAGCACUUUUGUCCGGAAAGAAAUCCUUGGCUCUAAUACAGUCGGGGGAUGACGGUACCGGAAGAAUAAGCACCGGCUAACUACGUGCCAGCAGCCGCGGUAAUACGUAGGGUGCAAGCGUUAAUCGGAAUUACUGGGCGUAAAGCGUGCGCAGGCGGUUUGCUAAGACCGAUGUGAAAUCCCCGGGCUCAACCUGGGAACUGCAUUGGUGACUGGCAGGCUAGAGUAUGGCAGAGGGGGGUAGAAUUCCACGUGUAGCAGUGAAAUGCGUAGAGAUGUGGAGGAGUACCGAUGGCGAAGGCAGCCCCCUGGGCCAAUACUGACGCUCAUGCACGAAAGCGUGGGGAGCAAACAGGAUUAGAUACCCUGGUAGUCCACGCCCUAAACGAUGUCAACUAGUUGUUGGGGAUUCAUUUCCUUAGUAACGUAGCUAACGCGUGAAGUUGACCGCCUGGGGAGUACGGUCGCAAGAUUAAAACUUAAAUGAAUUGACGGGGUCAUAGCUGUUUCCU
rnacentral:rRNA from 1 species